GACGAACGCUGGCGGCGUGCUUAACACAUGCAAGUCGAACGAAGAGCGACGGAAGCUUGCUUCUAUCAAUCUUAGUGGCGAACGGGUGAGUAACGCGUAAUCAACCUGCCCUUCAGAGGGGGACAACAGUUGGAAACGACUGCUAAUACCGCAUACGAUCUAACCUCGGCAUCGAGGAUAGAUGAAAGGUGGCCUCUACAUGUAAGCUAUCACUGAAGGAGGGGAUUGCGUCUGAUUAGCUAGUUGGAGGGGUAACGGCCCACCAAGGCGAUGAUCAGUAGCCGGUCUGAGAGGAUGAACGGCCACAUUGGGACUGAGACACGGCCCAGACUUCUACGGGAGGCAGCAGUGGGGAAUCUUCCGCAAUGGACGAAAGUCUGACGGAGCAACGCCGCGUGAGUGAUGACGGCCUUCGGGUUGUAAAGCUCUGUUAAUCGGGACGAAAGGCCUUCUUGCGAAUAGUGAGAAGGAUUGACGGUACCGGAAUAGAAAGCCACGGCUAACUACGUG
rnacentral:rRNA from 1 species